UCCGUAAGGAGCGGUGGACUGAUUACGAGUGAGAAUGUUGGCAUUAGUAGCGAGAUGUAGGUGAGAAUCCUACAGGCCGAAUAUCUAAGGUUUCCUCAGGAAGGCUCGUCCGCUGAGGGUUAGUCGGGACCUAAGCCGAGGCCGAAAGGCGUAGGCGAUGGACAACAGGUUGAUAUUCCUGUACCACUACCAUCGUUAUUAUCGAGGGUGUGACGGAGAAGGAUAGUGUGUGCUAGCGAUUGGAAAUGCUAGUCUAAGCGUUUAGGCAGUUACGGUAGGCAAAUCCGCUGUAAUGUUAAUGCUGAGGCGUGAUGGGGAAGGCCCUUGAGGCUGAAGUACAUGAUUCCAUGCUUCCAAGAAAAGCAUCUAGAGAGAGAAGUAGUGCCCGUACCGCAAACCGACACAGGUAGAUGAGGAGAGAAUCCUAAGGCCGGCGGAAGAAUUGCAGUUAAGGAACUAGGCAAAUUGACCCCGUAAGUUAGCGAGAAGGGGUGCCUACGAGAGUAGGCCGCAGAGAAUAGGCCCAAGCAACUGUUUAGCAAAAACACAGGUCUCUGCUAAAGCGCAAGCUGAUGUAUAGGGGCUGACGCCUGCCCGGUGCUGGAAGGUUAAGGGGAACACUUAGCGCAAGCGAAGGUGUGAACUUAAGCCCCAGUAAACGGCGGCCGUAACUAUAACGGUCCUAAGGUAGCGAAAUUCCUUGUCAGGUAAGUUCUGACCCGCACGAAUGGCGUAAUGACUUGGGCACUGUCUCAACUGCAAAUCCGGCGAAGUUGUAGUGCGAGUGAAGAUGCUCGCUACCCGCGAUUGGACGGAAAGACCCCGUAGAGCUUUACUGUAGCUUAGCAUUGAAUUCCGGUAUUGUCUGUACAGGAUAGGUGGGAGACUGGGAAACUAGGGCGUCAGCCUUAGUGGAGUCAUCCUUGGGAUACCACCCUGACAGUACUGGGGUUCUAACAGGAUGCCAUGAAUCUGGUGACUGGACAUUGUUAGGUGGGCAGUUUGACUGGGGCGGUCGCCUCCUAAAAAGUAACGGAGGCGCCCAAAGGUUCCCUCAGAACGGUCGGAAAUCGUUCGUAGAGUGCAAAGGCAGAAGGGAGCCUGACUGCGAGACCUACAAGUCGAGCAGGGACGAAAGUCGGGCUUAGUGAUCCGGUGGUACCUCGUGGGAGGGCCAUCGCUCAACGGAUAAAAGCUACCUCGGGGAUAACAGGCUGAUCUCCCCCAAGAGUCCACAUCGACGGGGAGGUUUGGCACCUCGAUGUCGGCUCGUCGCAUCCUGGGGCUGUAGUAGGUCCCAAGGGUUGGGCUGUUCGCCCAUUAGAGCGGCACGCGAGCUGGGUUCAGAACGUCGUGAGACAGUUCGGUCCCUAUCCGUCGCGGGCGUAGGAAAUUUGAGAGGAGCUGUCCUUAGUACGAGAGGACCGGGAUGGACUGACCUCUGGUGCACCAGUUGUUCUGCCAAGAGCAUGGCUGGGUAGCUAAGUCGGGAAGGGAUAAACGCUGAAGGCAUCUAAGCGUGAAGCCUCCCUCAAGAUGAGAUUUCCCAUAGUCGAAAGACUAGUAAGACCCCUUGAAGAACACGAGGUUGAUAGGUCAGAGGUGUAAGUAUGGUAACAUAUUUAGCUGACUGAUACUAAUAGGUCGAGGGCUUGACC
rnacentral:rRNA from 1 species